UUAGGAGAGGCAGGCGCUUUAUUGUUCUGCUGGAGACUUCGUGCCACUAUUGCAGACUUGUGCCAAGUUGCAGGUGGCCUCUAUAAAUUAUGUCAUUGGGCGUUAACGUUUGGGGUGUAACAUUUUCUUCUAUUGUUUGAACAUUCUUUUCACUCACCUGGAACAAUGUGGCUAAGUCUUCAAGAAAAAAUCCUCCCAUGCUCACCUGUUGUAUUUUUAUGCUGUUGUGGGUUUUUUGUUGUUAUUUGUGGUGCUGGGGAUGAAACACAGGGACUCAUGCAUGCUGGGCAAGUGCUGUGCCAAUGAGCUACACCCCCGAACCUUUCUUCUGUUACUCUCAAAAGAAGUUAAUCUCUGCAUUUUUACCAUAUUAGAUAAAUAUCAUGUAAUUGUCAAUUAUUUAUUUCAUCAUAUUAAGAGAAUACUACAUGGGUUGUCAAUGAUAUCCAAUAUCAUGAACUCAAUACUAUCCUCCUCAAUUUACAAGAAGGAAACAACAAACGUUAAGACAUGGUGUCUGCCUUAAAUGCAUGAAGAAACUAAGUCAACUCGAGAAUAAUAUGGCCUAUAACUCACAUCAGUCCCAUGGCUGCAACUGAAGACCAAGGAGGACUCAGUGUGGAACUGCGUGGACUAAGGUCAAGGAAGAAGUCACCAAAGAGAAAAGACUGCAGAGAGAUCUUGGACCUAAGGACAAAACCAGAUAAGAAUCAGUACAAAGGCACCAAGACUUUUGCACAACUGGAUAAAGGAAAGAAAGGAAAUUCCAGCUAUAUGCAGUGUAACUGGUUACCUUUACAGUAUAAAUAAAAUCUCUAAAAGGGCCUGAUAUUUGGAUGAUGGUAAGAGUUAUAGAACAUUGCACUAGGAGCUCAAAACAUCCUGAGCACAAAAGUAUACAAAUAUUCCCCAGAUGAUCAGAUUGCAGAGGGGUCCUUGGAGGAUCCCAAGAAUGAUGGGAAUCAAAUCUGAAGACAGCACAGGAGAAGAGGAAGGAAGCAUCAGAAAGUUUUCCUUCUAUCUAAAGACACUAGGGCAGGGUGGUUUCUACAGAGCUUCUCUUACUGGUGCCUUAGGAGCUGUGGUGCAUGCCUUUUAUUUAUUUAUUUUUUUGUCCAACUAUAUUCUCCACUCAUCGUCAUCUACUUAGUACCCCAGGAGGCUGACCCAUGGCUGCAUAAAUGGGUUAUCUUGCCCUAUGUCUUUCAUUUCGUUCCUUCAGUGGGAUGAGGAAUAAGCAUCAAGAGGUCAGAACCAAAAAGAAGGUGAGUCUGGAAGAAGAUCACUUCUCGGAUCACGCUCAACUAGAUACUCAUGGUGGCUGUCUCUCUUACAAAAGGGUAUAUGUCAUAUAGCUGCACACGCUUUCUUUAGUUCUGGGCACCAGAAACUUCCAUUGUCAAGCUACUUUAGACCAUGACAGGAAGGGAGUCAUUCCAUAUUUGUUUCCCUAUAUUUG